rnacentral:misc_RNA from 1 species
CAAAUGGGCAGGGACAAAAGGCAAAUAGAAUUGCAAAGAUAACUUUGGAUAUCCAGCAAUGAGAACCAAAAUAUAUAUACUGUGGUCACAAAUUAAAUGCUAAAAGAUGGUCAAACAUCAUAUGAACACAUCUUAUGGUUCCAAUAAACUCAAGUGAAAUGCAUUCAACACUCUUUCAUGAAGUUCCAAUCCACCCUUGGAUUAUUGCCUUGUGUAAG